rnacentral:rRNA from 1 species
GAGUAACGCGUAAGCAAUCUACCUUCAAGAUGGGGACAACACUUCGAAAGGGGUGCUAAUACCGAAUGAAUGUAAGAGUAUCGCAUGAGACACUUACUAAAGGAGGCCUCUGAAUAUGCUUCCGCUUGAAGAUGAGCUUGCGUCUGAUUAGCUAGUUGGUGAGGGUAAAGGCCCACCAAGGCGACGAUCAGUAGCCGGUCUGAGAGGAUGAACGGCCACAUUGGGACUGAGACACGGCCCAG